rnacentral:rRNA from 1 species
UACGAAGGGGGCUAGCGUUGCUCGGAAUCACUGGGCGUAAAGCGCACGUAGGCGGAUCUUUAAGUCAGGGGUGAAAUCCUGGAGCUCAACUCCAGAACUGCCUUUGAUACUGGAGAUCUUGAGUCCGGGAGAGGUGAGUGGAACUGCGAGUGUAGAGGUGAAAUUCGUAGAUAUUCGCAAGAACACCAGUGGCGAAGGCGGCUCACUGGCCCGGUACUGACGCUGAGGUGCGAAAGCGUGGGGAGCGAACAGG